GGCACCACACUGCCCCCUGGGACAGGCCGCACAGGGCGUGGUGUCCAGCGCACAGCGCUCCCGGCCCCUCGAGGUGGUGGGUCUUCCUCUUAAAGGGCCGUGCCGGGAGUGGAGACCGAUGCUCCAGGAGUGGCCAGACCUCGGCCCAGCUGGCAGGCACGGAGGCUGCGUGGAGACAAAGCCAAAACCAAGGACCCGGGGGCCGCUUCUGAAGGCAGAGCAUUUCAUAAAUAACGGGCAAAUGUGGACAUGACCGUAAGGCCCAGCACCACCCCUCCGCGCUGUGGCUCUCCCCCCCGCUCCCUGCACACACAGGAAGAGGCCAGCACCCCUCCACUGCGGUUCCGCCCACCCCAAGCCCUGGUGCCCCCUCACCAGCCGAAGGUCAGGCUCGGUCAUUUCUCCCUUACUCAGCCUCCCUCAGGAUUUAAACACACACGGUUGUGAGUUUUGUAGGAUAAAAUAAAUUCUCUUAAAAUAAAUUCGUUUUGUGGAAACUG